GAUGGCUUCCUCCAUCAGCUUGCCCGGCUUGAAGGUCACCACCUUGCGUUCGGGAACCAUCACCUCCUCACCCGUGCGUGGAUUUCUGGCCUUCCUUGGCUUGCGGGUGCGGACUGCGAAGACCCCGAACUUGCGGAGUUCCAGACGCCCUUCCGAGGCCAGCACGUUAAUCAUGUUGUCCAGCACCAUCUGCACGACCCGCUUCACGUUGG
rnacentral:rRNA from 1 species